rnacentral:lncRNA from 1 species
CUGAACAAAACCGUGUGUGGUCCCAAUGCCAACUGUACCAACUCUUAUGCAGCAUACAGCUGUACCUGCCUCUUUGGCUACCUGCUCACCAGCCCAGAUGCCAUACCCAGCCCCUUAAACCCAUGCCUAGACAUAGAUGAGUGUGCUAACACCCCUGGUCUAUGUGGUCUCCACUCUGUGUGUACCAAUGCACCAGGGACCUUCCACUGUUCCUGUGUGGAAGGAUACUUCUCCUCCACUGGAGUACUGUGGGAAACUGACGUCACUGUGUGUGAAAGUGUUGAUGACGUUCUAGCCGCCAUAGUUCCCCCAGAGGGCCAGUCUAAGGAGAUGUACUUCCUCAACCAGAUGAACCAACAGCUGAUGGAGAACCCUGACAUCGUCCUACCAGAGGGGUCAGUGACGAACAGCCUCUCGACAGCCCUGAAGGUGUCAGGUGUUGGAAGCAUCUCAGCGCAGCAGGCCAGUACAGGCCAGGUGUGGAGUGGGCCUGGAAAGGAUGGCGGGGAGUCUGGCAGUGUGGUCCUGAAGAUCUCAGAGCUCCUGGUGAAUGCCUUAGUGGACCCUUCUCAGGGCCGGGUCAACAAAACCAUACACACACCUGAGCUGGACAUUAGUCUGCAGGUAAUCGAGGCCAACAGUACAGACACCUCUUCCCUCUCAGCCAGGGGAAACACCAUGGACAUCAACCUAAAGGCUCUGGCCAGAAACAAUAAUGGUACAGCAUCAGCAGUAUUCCUGACAGUCAGUGGGAUGGAGAGCCUUCUGGGUGCUAGCUUCUUGCAGACAGAAAACCACACAGAGAUGUUGUCUGAUGUCAUCACCGCCACACUGCCCAAGAUCAACCACACCCAGCUCUCUGAGCCUGUCAACUUCACCAUGAGCCACAAGA